GGAUCAGGAAAGUGUUCUAAAAGCCACAAAAAGAUACCUGCAAAUGUUUCUCAGGUAAUUGAUCAUCUUCUUGAAAUAGUAGCAGCAUUUCCUACGCAGGGAUUGGUUGAAGAUUGUGUGGGAAACGCCUGUGCUAUGGAGGUUGAUGAGCCCAUAGUCAGAGUAAAGGGGAAAUCAAAGGUUGAUGAGGUGCGGGAGGUUCAGUCUGACAGUGUAUCAGAGAAAUCAGCAGGGCUUGCUAAAGUUACUUUUGUACUCAAAUUGUUGAGUGACAUUCUUAUGAUGUAUGUACAUGCUCUUGGGGUUAUCCUGAGAAGGGAUCUGGAGAUGUGUCAACUACGGGGACCCCAUCAGCUAGAGAAUCCUGGUUAUGGCGGUAUUAUUCAUCAUGUGUUGCAACGGCUUCUUCCCCUUUCAAUCGAUAAAUCUGCAGGACCUGAUGAAUGGAGAGACAAGCUGUCUGAAAAAGCUUCAUGGUUUCUUGUAGUUUUGUCUGGCAGAUCUAGUGAAGGUCGUAGGAGGGUUAUAAAUGAACUUGUGAAAGCCUUGUCUUUAUUUGUGAAGUCUGAAAGCAACUCUGCCCGUAGCAGUUUAUUGCCAGAUAAAAAGGUCCUUGCUUUUGUUGAUCUGGCAUACUCCAUUUUGUCCAAGAACUCAUCCUCAGGUGACCUACCCGGUUCUGGUUGUUCUCCCGAAAUAGCCAAAAGCAUGAUAGAUGGAGGAUUGGUCCAAUCCUUAUCUGGUGUCCUUCAAGCAAUUGAUUUGGAUCACCCUGAUGCUCCAAAAGUUGUGAAUCUAAUUCUUAAAACAUUGGAAAGCCUAACAAGGGCUGCCAAUGCUAGUGAGCAACUUUAUAAAACUGAUUCUGUGAACAAGAAAAAGACAACUGCCGUGAAUGGUAGAUCGGAUAAUCAGGUGAAUGCAACAUCAGCCUUUCAACAUAUAGAGGCCAGUGGAAAUGGAAGCAGCCAGCCGGAGGUUCCGGAUACAAAUGCAGGGCAACUGCCGCUCAGUGCUUCUGAGAAUCACAGCAAUGAGAAUGUGACUACAGACCCGUCCAUGGUGCAAGAAUUGCGAACUGAGCAAGAAGCAAAUGCAGGCGAUCCUCCUCUCGAGCUUGGGUUGGAUUACAUGCGUGAUGAGAUGGAAGUCAAUGGUGUUUUGAACGACACAGAGCAAAUUGGCAUGGGUUUCCACGUUGAGAAUAGGGCACAUCAUGAACUGGGUGAAGAAGAUGAUGAUAUGGGAGAUGACGGUGAGGAUGACGAGGAUGAUGAUGAGGGUGAGGAUGAGGAUGAAGAUAUAGCUGAAGAUGGCACUGGCUUGAUGUCUCUGGCUGAUACAGAUGGGGAAGAGCAUGAUGAUGCUGGCCUGGGAGGUGAAUACAAUGAUGACAUGGUUGAUGAAGA
rnacentral:misc_RNA from 1 species